rnacentral:rRNA from 1 species
UCGAGAAUCAUUCACAAUGGGGGCAACCCUGAUGGUGCAACGCCGCGUGGAGGAUGAAGGCCCUAGGGUCGUAAACUCCUGUCAUCUAGGAGCAAGGCAUGGUGGUGAAUAGCCAACAUGAUUGAUAGUACUAGAAGAGGAAGGGACGGCUAACUUCGUGCCAGCAGCCGCGGUAAUACGAAGGUCCCGAGCGUUAUUCGGAAUCACUGGGCGUAAAGGGAGCGUAGGCGGCGUGGAAAGUCAGAUGUGAAAUCCCGGGGCUCAACCCCGGAACUGCAUCCGAUACUACCAUGCUAGAGUAUUGGAGGGGUAACUGGAAUUCUCGGUGUAGCAGUGAAAUGCGUAGAUAUCGAGAGGAACACUCGUGGCGAAAGCGAGUUACUGGACAAUUACUGACGCUGAGGCUCGAAGGCUAGGGGAGCAAAAG